ACAGUCGUGGCCGAGUGGUUAAGGCGAUGGACUCGAAAUCCAUCGGGGUCUCCCCGCACAGGUUCGAAUCCUGUCGGCUGCC
rnacentral:tRNA from 1 species